rnacentral:snRNA from 1 species
UUAAUCUGCCUGUAUUUCCUCUUCACUUCAGGGAACGAUACAGAGAAGAUUAGCAUGGCCCCUGCGCAAGGAUGACACACAGACUCGUGAAGCGUUCCAUAUUUAA